rnacentral:lncRNA from 1 species
AUGCCAGACAGGGUUGGUUCUCAUCUCAAGGCUCAACUGGGAAAGGAUCUAUUUCUAAGGUCUCGUGGCUGCUGGCAGAUGUUGGUUUCUUGCAGUCAUAGGACAGAGGGCUUCAGUUUCUUGUUGGCUGUUGGCAGGAGGACACUUUUGGCUCUUGGCUGUGUGAGGCCCCCCCCCCCCCCCGCCCGCCGCCCCGGGGCCCCUCCGCCCUCCAGCCCCCAGUGUCCCGCACUCGUCAGGAGGAGGUCCUUCUAUUCGACCGAGGCGAGUCCCUCCUUGGUCCCGAGCAAGAGGCUGAGACCACAGCCCGUCCCAGGGAGGACUCCCAGCUGCUGGCGUGAGGGCUGGGGACGGGGGCUGAUGUGGGUCUGGGGAGAGCGGAGUGGGAGCGUGGCCGGGGAGCGGCGGCCGGUGGCCCUGCACGCUGCGCUGACCCCUGUGUGUGGGGCUGGCCGGCGUCGCCAGGGCUGCUGGGAGCCCUGCUGCCAGCCCCCAGGUCCCACUGCUCUGGGCAGCCCUCGGGAGUGGGGUGGGGUGUCCCCUUUGCCCACGUGGUCCCUAAAGGGCUUGUGUGCCCCACCUGUGGACACACGGCCAGACACGCGUGUGCGAUACACUUGUGUGCCGCACCCCCCGAGGGUGCCCACACAGAGCACCCCACUCCCAGCGUGUACCUGGGACAGGAGGGUGGCGGCUGCCUGGACCUUGGGCUGCGUGGGAGCCUCUGCGGGGGGCCACCAGCUGAGCUGCGGGGCGGGCUGGCCAGCAGCUCAGUGAGCAUCUGGCAGCCCCCAGGGGCAGCGGGGAGACAGAUGGCCCGCCUCCACCCGGCCUCGGGUGCUGUGGGCUUGGGGUCCUCCCCUGCCCAAGAGGGAGGAAAAGGAGGCAGGUGAGAGGCCGGGUCCCGGGCCGGUGGGCACCCCUGCAGCAGAGCCCGCCCCAUCCUCGUCCCCUAGUCCCCCUCCCCUCUCUCCUUGCCGCUGAUCCUGGGCCUGGGGCGGCCCUCAGGGCUCUGCAGGAGGGAAGGGGUGAGUGGACACUCCAGCUGCGGAGCUGGAGGGAGUGCCAGCUGGGCAGCUCUGGGGCAGAUCCCUGGCCUGGACACUGACCACUCCCCCGACCCCAGCCUCAGUUUCUCUCUGUGUCCCUGACAGCCUCUGGGCUCCUUGCACUUCUGACCCGGCAUGGGUAUAGGGAGCUGAGGGGUCUUGGCCAAGAGCUGCCAAAGGAAGGUGAGUGUGGUGUUUCCAGAAUAUUCUGAGGCCCAGAGUUGGCCCAUGGAGCCUGAGAAGCAGGGAGGGGGCCUCCGGGUCCGCACCCAGCCAGGUGGGCCUGUCAGCUUCUGCCUCCAGAAGCCCCGGGUGUGAAAGGAGCAGUCCCUGGGGAGGGAGGGGGCUUUCCUUGCUGUAGGAGGGGGAUCCUGAAGGGCAGCUGGGGAGCCCAUGGCUGAGCCAGGCCCCCUGAGAGCCCAGGCCUAUGCUUCCCUGGGGCUGGCCCUGCCCACCCUAGCCCCCAGCCCCCCACCUGCCCUCUGAGCCCCUCCUCACCUGAGCCGCAGCCCCGCUUCAUGCAACCACUUCCCUCUCCCCAACCCCCCAGUUCUUCUGGCCUCCCCAGGCCCCCCAACUCCUCUGAGCUUUUGGGAACCUUGCGGGGACCCCUUGUAGUCUGGCCUCCCAUUCAGUCCAAUGUCCCACGCCGGGGCCAGGACCCCCAGAACUGUCUCCCCAACUCCCAGGUGCUCGGGUGGCCACUGAUUAUAAUUCUCAGAAUACGGAGACUUGCACGAAAGUAGAGCACACAGUGCGGAGCCUGAAUCCGCCAGCGAGCUCAACAGGGGCCGGUUCAGAGCAGGCUGGUCUCGCCUCCUCCGGCCACCGCCCCCACUCCCGGUCAUUUGCAGGCAAUUCCCUGACUCCGCAUCGUCUGCCCGGAAGCCCUCAGUGCAUACUUAGAGCACAUGGGGCCUCGGUGACCCUGAGGUCCGGUGUGUGCACAGGAGGAAGGGCGAACACUUGACUCUGUCCCUUUCUGAUUUAUUUUAUUCCUUUUCAAAAUAAUGAGCCCUAGCCUCUGACCAAGGCCCAGUGAGGAUUCUGUAGUAUUCUUUUGAAUAAAAUGGACUUUAAAGAUAUUUGGUAUAUUUUAAUCCAUACUUUUUUUUUUUUUUUACUUUAUCACUCAUUUACUUGGAGCAUGAGGCAAAAGAGAAAAAAAAAUGCAUCAGCUUCAAAUGAUCAUCAUUUUCCAUUUGAUUGCAAAGCUGUCUGUGGAUCCUGGCACUGAAAACAUCCUAAAAUCUAAGAGCAGCCUUUACACAAAAAGUUAAUGUACACCAUAGAUUAGAAUCUCUGCAGAAUGAAUUCAUAUUGCCAUAUUUCAAACAACAAGCAGAAAGAAUGACUGCGAAAAGGAAAAAGAAUGGUCAUGGGGGACCCCAACCACAAGGUCUUAUAUUAAAGUGAAAAGCACUUGAGUUAAUAAUACUGUUAAUUAGAAAGUUUUGGUCGAUAACAACCUUUCAUAUAAAGCAUCAAUUUUCCUGUCUGUAGCGGUUUCUCAUCUUACAUUUCCAUCUAACCUGUUGUACAGUAGUUACUUAAAAGCAGAUAUUUAUCUUAAAAUAGGCUCACUUUGUGCCAUCUUUGUUGUUGCCGUCCAGUCGCUCAGCUCUGUCUGACUCUGCGACCCCAUGGGCUGCAACUUGCCAGGCUUCCCUGUCUUUUCCCACCUCCCAGAGUUUGCUCAAACUCAUGUGCGUUGACUCGGUGACGUGAAAUAACCAUCUUGUGCUCUGCCCUCCCCUUCUCCCCCUGCCCUCAACCUUUCCCAGCCGCAGGGUCUUUUCCAGUGAGUCAUCUCUUCACAUCAGGUGGCCAAAGUAUUGGAGCUUCAGCUUCAGCGUCAGCCCUUCCAGUGAAUAUUCAGGACUGAUGUCCUUUAGGAUGGACUGGUUGGAUCUCCUUGCAGUCCAAGGGACUCUCAAGAGUCUUCCCCAGAACCACAGUUCAAAAGCAUCCGUUCUUCAGCACUCAGCCUUCUUUAUGGUCCAGAGCUCACAUCCAUGCAUGACUACUGGAAAAACCAUAGCUUGGACUAUGCAGACCUUGGUCGGCAAAGUGAAAGAAACAUCACUCCGUUGUGUCUGAUUCUUUGUGACCCUUUGGACUGUAGCCCACUAGGCUCCUCUGUCCAUGAAAUUCUCCAGGCAAGAAUACUGGAGUGGAUUGCCAUUCCCUUUUCCAGAGGAUUUUCCUGACCCAGGGGUCAAACCUGGGUCUCCUGCAUUGCAGGCGGAUUCUUCACUGUCUGAGCCACAGGGGAAGCCCGUCGGCAAAGUGGUGUCUCUACUUUUUAAUACGCUGUCUAGGUUUGUCAGAGCUUUCUUCCAAAAAACAAGUGUCUUUUAAUUUCAUGGCUGCAGUCACCAUCCACAGUGAUUUUGGAGUCCAAGAAAAUAAAAUCUGCCACUAUUUCCACCCCUCCCCCAUUUAUUUGAUGUAUCAUUUUUAUGCAAUGAAAUGCAUACUUCCUUUUGAUGAGACAACUUUUCAGCAGUCAGAACUAGAAAGUAGUCUUGUUUUGAGAAAAUAGCUGAAGAGUUUAUGUUAACAUUCCCAAUUCAAAUUUAAGGAUGGGUUUGCACUUUGAUCUCAUAUUUCUCUCUCUUUUCUCUUGUACUGAAAAUCCUGGUUUCUAAGAAGCUUCCCAUGCCACAUUUUCUGCUUAUAUUACACAUAUAUGUCAUUUCAAAGCAGCAAUGCCGGUAUCAACACUGAUGACGUGACUCUCGGGGUUCCUUCUGUCCCUGGAGCGUUAGUGACACCAUUGAUAACAUUGCGCGCUGUACCAUAGCGUGGUUCAGCUAACUGAGGGACGUGCAGGCUGUUUUUAUUCUCUCACUGGUACAAAUAAGGGCUUCCCAGGUGGCGCUAGCGGUAAAGAACCCGCCUGCCGAUGCCGGAGAUGUGAGAGCCCCAGGUUUGAUCCCUGGGUCGGGAAGAUCUCCUGGAGGAGGAAAUGGCAACUCACUCCAGUAUUCUUACCUGGAGAAUCCCAUGGACAGAGGAGCCUUGUGGGCUCCAGUCCAAAGCGUCGCAAAGACUUGGACAGGACUGAAGCAACUUAGCACACACACACAAUACAAAUAAGUCACAACUCGUAGCCUUAUGUGUGUGUUCUUUUCUAGUUUUCCUGUGUGUCUGUGGGCCAGUUCCUAGAAGUGGAACCAAGCAGCCCAACCAAAUGAUAUGAGUGCUUGUCCUAAAGCUGCCAGGACCCCCUUCUGGCAGGUGACAUGCCAAAAACACCUGCUCUCCCUCAGCUCUGCCCCUGGAGCCUGUGGGAAUGCCUGGAUUUUUGCCCAUCAGAUAAGAAAGCAAUGAUCUCUCUGUGUACCUUCAAAUUUACAUUUUUUUGUGCCGAGUGACGUUGAGCAUUUUUUUUUUUUCACGAGAGCAAAGAUCGUGAAUCCGUUUUCCUGUGAGCUGCUCACGUUUUUCACCUGCUUGUCCACGGGACUGACGGUCACCUUCCCGGUCUUGGACGUUCCUUAGGUACCAGCGCCCUUAACCCUUGACCUGCGCUGCUGUUCGCAAAUUCUUUUCCAGGUCGUCAUUUGUUUGCUUUGCUUGGUUGACUUCAGUUCUUGUCUCCGGGUUCCAGCCGCAGGUGGGGGUGUUUUCGGCACGUAGAGUUUGUUGAGGAGCUCAUUCAUAUCCUCCUGUAGAGCCCACACGGCUUCGUUUCAGCUUCUACAAUGAAGCCUCUGACCGUUCAGGCUUUACCCUUGUGCAUUGUCUGCAAGGCAGAUCAACUCUUUUUUUUUCUUUCUCUUUGACUCUCCAGUUGUGCCAACACCGCCUGUUAAAAGUUCAUCUUCCUCCUGCUCAAUGGGCUGUGGAUGUCCUUGCCCUUCACUCACUCGCACACGCCUUCACUCGGAAAGUAUUGACUGAACGCCUGCAGGUGCCCUGGCUGCCCCCCAGGCCCUGUGCAGGAGACUUCCUGCCUUCUUCUGGCUCUCUGCCUGCUUUGUGUCCUAAACGAUGUGCCUUGCUGCCUCGGCCGCCCUGAGUGUCCGUGUGCCUGGCACAGGCGGGGACCCACAUCAUUCACUCCUUCUGAGAAGACAGGCUGUGCCGGCCACACCAGCCAAGUGCGGGGAGUCAGCAGGGAAGGGCAUUCGGUCCAGCAACAAGAGCUGACUUUCCUUUUUCUCAUUCUGGGAAGGAAAACAUUAUCCCUUUUGGUUUCACUCCCUAAAUAAAUGAACUACUUUUUUAAAAUUUUAUUUAUUUAUUGUAAUUAAAUUAAAACAAUUUUUAAUUACAGGAUAAUUGCUUUAAAGUGUUGUGUUGGUUUCUCCCAUACAACAAUGUGAAUGAGCUAUCAGUUCAGUUCAGUCGCUCAGUGGUGUCCAACUCUUUGCGACCCCAUGAAUCGCAGCACGCCAGGCCUCCCCAUCCAACACCAACUCCUGGAAUUCACUCAGACUCAUGUCCAUCGAGUCGGCGAUGCCAUCCACCCAUCUCAUCCUCUGUUGUCCCCUUCUCCUCCUGCCCCCAAUCCCUCCCAGCAUCAGAGUCUUUUCUAAUGAGUCAACUCUUCACAUGAGGUGACCAAAAUACUGGAGCUUCAGCUUUAGCAUCAUUCCUUCCAAAGAAAUCCCAGGGUUGAUCUCCUUCAGAAUGGACUGGUUG